rnacentral:rRNA from 1 species
GUCCUACGGGAGGCAGCAGUGGGGAAUAUUGGGCAAUGGGGGAAACCCUGACCCAGCAACGCCGCGUGAAGGACGAAGGCCUUCGGGUUGUAAACUUCUUUGAUCAGGGACGAAAGCAAUGACGGUACCUGAAGAACAAGCCACGGCUAACUACGUGCCAGCAGCCGCGGUAAUACGUAGGUGGCGAGCGUUAUCCGGAUUUACUGGGUGUAAAGGGCGUGUAGGCGGGUCAGCAAGUCGGGUGUGAAAUUUCCGGGCUUAACCCGGACGGGUCAUCCGAAACUGCAGAUCUUGAGUGCUGGAGAGGAUAGUGGAAUUCCUGGUGUAGCGGUAAAAUGCGUAGAGAUCAGGAGGAACACCAGUGGCGAAGGCGGCUAUCUGGACAGUAACUGACGCUGAGGCGCGAAAGCGUGGGGAGCAAACAGGAUUAGAUACCCCGGUAGUC